UCCCUCUUAGCUCAGUUGGUAGAGCGCGUCACUAGUAUGGGUGAUAGGCAAACUCUUCAUGACGAGGUCAGUCGUUCAAAUCGGCUAGCGGGAA